GGAAAAGGAAGUCACAAAUACUGGCAAAAGAAGAGAGCCUGGCAUAAAGAACCGCAUGGUGAACAGAGAAGGAAGUCAGAGAGCUGCGGGUGGGCCCAGAGAGCUCAGAGGCACAUUCCUGUGGGGAUACCAGAACUCACAGUGGAGUGAUGAGCUGCAAUUUUCUGGCUUCUGGAAGCAACCAUACUGAUAACAAGCCAUGG